rnacentral:misc_RNA from 1 species
CAUGGCGGAGGAGGUGGGCACCUAGUAACCCUGGGUGUGUUGCCUUCACGCUUCUCUACCCUUGUCUAUUUGCACCUUUUUGUCGUUCCCUCGGUGGGUCUUGAAACCUGCCGACGGCAACUUUCAAAACCUCUUGCAGUAGUAUUGAAUUCUUCUGAUUCCAAUAUCAAAUCGUUA